AACGAACGCUGGCGGCAUGCCUAACACAUGCAAGUCGAACGAGACCUUCGGGUCUAGUGGCGCACGGGUGCGUAACGCGUGGGAAUCUGCCCUUGGGUUCGGAAUAACAGUUAGAAAUGACUGCUAAUACCGGAUGAUGUCUUCGGACCAAAGAUUUAUCGCCCAAGGAUGAGCCCGCGUAAGAUUAGCUAGUUGGUGGGGUAAUGGCCCACCAAGGCGACGAUCUUUAGCUGGCUGAGAGGAUGAUCAGCCACACUGGGACUGAGACACGGCCCAGACUCCUACGGGAGGCAGCAGUGGGGAAUAUUGGACAAUGGCGAAAGCCUGAUCCAGCAAUGCCGCGUGAGUGAU
rnacentral:rRNA from 1 species